rnacentral:rRNA from 1 species
GACGAACGCUGGCGGCGUGCUUAACACAUGCAAGUCGAACGCUGAAGCUCAGCUUUUGUUGGGUGGAUGAGUGGCGAACGGGUGAGUAACACGUGAGUAACCUGCCUCCAUCUUUGGGAUAACGCCCGGAAACGGGUGCUAAUACUGGAUAUUCACUGGUCUUCGCAUGGGGGUUGGUGGAAAGGGUUUUUCUGGUGGGGGAUGGGCUCGCGGCCUAUCAGCUUGUUGGUGGGGUGAUGGCCUACCAAGGCUUUGACGGGUAGCCGGCCUGAGAGGGUGACCGGUCACAUUGGGACUGAGAUACGGCCCAGACUCCGACGGGAGGCAGCAGUGGGGAAUAUUGCACAAUGGGCGCAAGCCUGAUGCAGCGACGCCGCGUGAGGGAUGGAGGCCUUCGGGUUGUGAACCUCUUUCGCUCAUGGUCAAGCCGCAACAAUGGUUGUGGUGAGGGUAGUGGGUAAAGAAGCGCCGGCUAACUACGUG